CUGCUGCUGCCUUCUUCAGCCACUGUCUAGCACUCCCCAAAGCCUGAAGCAACCUCCUCCAAGACAGUGCUUGAGAUCAGUGUGUCCAAAUAGAUGGCUGGCAAGGCUUUGAGACAGAGGAGCUGAAAGUCUGAGUUCUUGGUGAAUGAAAGAUGUUUACUGAGCACCACCUAUGUGCCAAGCACCCGACCAAAUCAGACACUGCCUUUGCCUUUGUUAUAAUACGAAGAAGAAAGUGAUUCUUCUCUGCUGAAUGAGUUAACAUUCUGUGGGAAUCCAGAAGCUACAGUGUUUUGCUUCGAAUGAAGAAAUCAAGAAAUGCUUCACAAGAAAGUGAUAGCUGAUCUGAGCCCUGGUGGUCUAGCUUGACUUGCUCAGAGGGGCCGCUGGCAAAGGCCUCGUGCCCCGCACUUCAGACCACAGCUCCUAGUACGGAAGGGUGCGCCGCCGACACCUCCGGGCCGUGUGCGGAAGCUGCGCUCCACACUCAAUUCAAGAUGGCGGGGCUUCAGUAGUUAAGAAUAGCGCAGUAGUUAACAAUCUACCGGCCAAUGCAGGUGGCGCAGUAGUUAAGAGUCCGCCUGCCAAUGCAGGGGACCUGGGUUCUGAGCCCUGGUCGGGGAAGAUCCCACAUUCCG